ensembl:lincRNA 1700022H16Rik RIKEN cDNA 1700022H16 gene
GUUUCUUUUUGAAGGAAACACGAAUAUACACAAGAGAUUGCACGAACUCUGGCCAUACUCUCUUCGGUGGGAAGUGAGCACAUCAGAAAAGACUCAGUGUCUUACAAAGCAAGAGAAGGUGGAGAAAAGUUGUUGCAGUUGAGCUGUGUGCAGUUGGGAUGGAACCCUGGAUUAGAAUCACCUACCACACCCGCAGCGCUGCGUACUGGACCUGCAAGGGGCACCGAAGGAAGGAGUGCUCGAGUUGAGAAUUUUGAUGCCCAAAAUAUGACUCAUCCAGCAACAAAGCUGCAACUGGAAACCAGCUUUCCCUGCAAUGGGACAAGACCACAUUCUGCAAUGAUGCUUCUGGUGAGGAGCUCCUUGUAGGCACACAAGGAUGCACAGAUGCAAGUAUGCCUGCGCCUGGGGGUUGAAUGAUUGCUGUUCAUUGUAGCAGCUUUAUGAAAACAUUAAAUGUCAUUACUUAUUUCUUC